UACAAUGUCGCCAGUUUUGGUGCUCGCGGACAUGCUCAUGUCUGCAGUUAAACGGGAAACACGAUGCCUCAGGCUAACGUGUGCUGCCCCCGCAACGGUAAUCAAGCGUCAUUUUCGAUGACAGAUCGUCUCUCAAACCACUGUGCAAGCUGCAUGGGAAGGUGAGGCGCUCGUGCUUGCUAGCCCGGAUACCGGCCAGGACAGGUGGAAAUGC
rnacentral:ncRNA from 2 species